rnacentral:lncRNA from 1 species
AGUUUUCAGCAUGGCUCUGGGAGGGGAGGAACGCAAGAGAAGGAAGGGCUCGGAGCGGAGACAGAGCUCUGGAGACGGCGUGAGCUGUGCGGCCAGCGACUACCUGGUGGGACAGGUCGCCGACAGCUUGCGGGGCGGCCCGCGGCCUCCUGGAGGCGGGACGGGGCGGCUGGCCGCUCUCUUCAGCACCGCGGAGCCAUCGGCUCCUCCUGUAUUUGUGCCUGUGCCCCAGGUGAGUCGCCGGGCUGCACCCUGAGUAUCCCGGUAGAGAGAGAUGUAGAGGGUCACUCUCCUGACAGCAGUGACUGUCUGGUCCUUUGAGCAGGGCUAGCGCUUCACCCUCAGCCUAUUUGAUUGGCAGGGUCACCUGUAGACCGUGUAAGCCUCAAAUUUCAGUUAUGUAUCCGAGGAUGAACUAAACUCCUGAUCCUUCUCCAGCCUUGAGUUCUGAGAUUACAGAGUCGCUCCCACCAUGUCCGACUUGACUUUUUUAUUUUGAGACAGGAUCACACUAGUUGCGCACGCUUAGAAUACACGGUAACCCAGAUUCUAUAUUCCUGCCUCACCUUUCCACUGAAUGGCUGGUGCUGCAAGAAUAUUCUGCUUCUCUCCGUAACCCGUGAAGAAGUAUCCAUGUAGAAAGGCACAUCGGAGUACUGCUCAGGGACUUGGAGACGGAGGGACUUUGCUAUGUAGCUCUGGCUGGCCUGGCACAGUUCCUCCUGCCUCUAUUCCUGAAUACUGGAAUUACAGAUAUAAGCCACAACACACAGCUUUAGGGUCAGGAUUUUUUUUUUUUUUAAAGUUUGAGGUUUUAAAUAUGACUUCAAACUUUUGAAAGGAAACAUCUAAAAAAAGAAAACUUGAUGAUGAUGAUGAUGAUGAAGAAGAGAGUGUGUCCCAAACUAAAAAGCCAGUUUUGCAAGAGCCUUCGAGAAAAGUGAAAGUGAAGAAACUCUCUGAUGCAGACAAAAGACUGGCAAACAGGUUGGUAGAAAUCUCCUUUUUGCUAUAUUAAAUACCUCAGGCAGUUUUUUUUUUUUUUUUUUUAAUGUUCAUCUUAAUUUUUUUCACUGCAUAUUCUGAAAUUUAAAAAAUACAUUAUACAAAGUCUCAUACAGGGUUAAAAGAUACAAGAAAGCCAUUUAUCCUAAGCGAACAGAUACUGGUAGAUCAGCUUUUUAGGUCUUUGUGUCCAUCACUGCUUCUUGAUUCUGAGCCAGCCUUGUUAGGACUUUAACCCCUUCUCUGUUUUCUGAGUUGGGAUUUCUGAGUUAGUGUGUCUGUCAAAUGUGAAUUUGGUUUUCAUAGGAACCAAAUUUCCCUUACUAACUUAAAAUUCCUUUUACAUAAUAUUUGAGUUAGUAUCCAAACAGAUACACUACUUUUCUAUUGAGUGUUCCUCAUUCUUUCUUGGAGACUUCUUGCAUCCCAGGUGGACCUUAAACUCACUCUGCAACCUAAGCUGUACUUCAGCUUCCACAAACCCUUGGCUCUCAAUUCCUUCUCGCUGCUUCAAGCCUAUUUUCUUUUCCCAUUUUUACACUCUCCUCUUUCAGUAAAACCUUCAGUAGUUAUUACGUUUGUUGUCUGCAUGUGUGUCAGUGCAUUCCUGUCAAGGUGGCCUGUGGAAGGACCAGCUCCUAGGAGUCCAUUCGCUGUCUGGCUGCAGGACAGGUGCCUUUGCCUGCUGAGCCACUACACUAGUUCCCCACCACCCUCACACCCUCUGAGGACUGUGCGCUGCUUCCACUCGGUGACUGCUUUCUCGAAGCUUUACAUUCCAAGCUUUCUGUUCCCUUCUCUGUUUUGUCUCUGAAUUAAGAUGAACACCUUUCCUGAGCUUGCAAUUAGGAAACGGCUUCUUCUUGGAGUUCUUGUCAGUCACCUCGCAGCAGUUCUUCAUGGGCACUGCUGUGUGUCGGCCCUGAGCAUUAGACCUGUUCCGUCUUUUUGAUUGCCUGUAUCUGCACCUGUACAUUUCUUGUUUACCUUAAGAUAGUGCUCCUUGAGGCUAGAGGUGUGCCUCACUUGGUGGAGUGUUCCUUGUCUAAACCGUGCAUGGUAACAUAUACUUGCAGUCUCCCAGCACUUGGAAGGUGGUGGUUCUUGGAUCGGACACUCAGAGUUAUCCUACACCAUAUAUAGUGAGUUUGAAGCCAGCCUAGGUUGCAUGCCACCUUCCUUAAAUCAAAACCC